GUCUAUGGCCAUGCUACCCUGAACAAGCCCGAUCUCUUCUGAUCUCGGAAGCUAAUCAGGGUCGGGCCUGGUUAAUACUUAGAUAGGAGACCACCUAGGAAGACCAGAUGCUGUAGGUG
rnacentral:rRNA from 1 species